rnacentral:rRNA from 1 species
AUUGAACGCUGGCGGCAUGCCUUACACAUGCAAGUCGAACGGUAACAGGUUAAGCUGACGAGUGGCGAACGGGUGAGUAAUGUAUCGGAACGUGCCCAGUCGUGGGGGAUAACUACUCGAAAGAGUGGCUAAUACCGCAUACGACCUGAGGGUGAAAGCGGGGGACCGUAAGGCCUCGCGCGAUUGGAGCGGCCGAUAUCAGAUUAGCUAGUUGGUGGGGUAAAAGCCCACCAAGGCGACGAUCUGUAGCUGGUCUGAGAGGACGACCAGCCACACUGGGACUGAGACACGGCCCAGACUCCUACGGGAGGCAGCAGUGGGGAAUUUUGGACAAUGGACGCAAGUCUGAUCCAGCCAUGCCGCGUGCGGGAAGAAGGCCUUCGGGUUGUAAACCGCUUUUGUCAGGGAAGAAACGAGUUUCUCUAAUACAGAGACUUAAUGACGGUACCUGAAGAAUAAGCACCGGCUAACUACGUGCCAGCCGCCGCGGUAA